rnacentral:rRNA from 1 species
UAUCUCUGUAGAGUCUGCAUAUCAAUAAGCGGAGGAAAAGAAACUAACAAGGAUUCCCCUAGUAACGGCGAGUGAAGCGGGAAGAGCUCAAAUUUGAAAUCUUCAAGGUUUGACCUUGACGAAUUGUAGUUUAAAGAAGUGUUUUCGGUUAGAGGAGUAGUAAAAGUUCAUUGGAAUAGGGACAUCAUAGAGGGUGAGAAUCCCGUAUUUGACUAUUCUUUCUAGCUUUGUGAUACACUUUCAAAGAGUCGGAUUGUUUGGGAAUGCAGUCCAAAAUGGGUGGUAAAUUUCAUCUAAAGCUAAAUAUUGGCGAGAGACCGAUAGCGAACAAGUACCGUGAGGGAAAGAUGAAAAGAACUUUGAAAAGAGAGUUAAACAGUACGUGAAAUUGUCAAAAGGGAAGCGUUUGACACCAGUGUUGUUUUUCCGAAAAUCAAUUAAAAAUUGAUUCAUGCCAGGUUGUAUUGACCUUAUCAGCUUGCAAUUUGGUUUUGGGUCUCUUUUUGAUGCACUUUUCGGUUAACAAGUCAACAUCAAUUUCCUUUGCUGUAAAAAGGUAAGAGGAAGGUGGCUUCAAUUUCGGUUGAAGUGUUUAUAGCCUUUUAUCUCUGCAGUCGGGGAGAUUGAGGUCUGCAGCGUAGAUCCUUCGGGGCUAGAUACAUUUAUGCUAAGUUAUAGCUUUUCAUAGACAACUUGUUGACUAUGUUUAGUCAUGUAGCUUACUCGUAAGUGCUAUUUUACCUACGCUUAGGAUGUUGAGCGCAUGUCUCUCUCU